GACGAACGCUGGCGGCGUGCUUAACACAUGCAAGUCGAACGAUGAAGAAGAGACACGCGGACUUCGGUUCCAAUUUCACUUCGGAUUAGUGGCAGACGGGUGAGUAACGCGUGAGCAACCUACCUCUUACAAAGGGAUAGCCUCGGGAAACCGUGAUUAAUACCAUAUGACACAUUCAUAAGGCAUCUUAAGAAUGUUAAAGCUACGGCGGUAAGAGAUGGGCUCGCGUCCCAUUAGCUAGUUGGUGAGGUAACGGCCCACCAAGGCGACGAUGGGUAACCGGGCUGAGAGGGUGAACGGUCACAUUGGAACUGAGACACGGUCCAAACUCCUACGGGAGGCAGCAGUGGGGAAUAUUGCACAAUGGAGGGAAGUCUGAUGCAGCGACGCCGCGUGAGCGAUGAAGGAAUUCGUUUCGUAAAGCUCUGUUCUAUGGGAAGAAAAGGAUUGUACCAGAGGAGAAAGCCCCGGCUAAAUACGUG
rnacentral:rRNA from 1 species